UACGUAGGUGGCGAGCGUUAUUCGGAUUUAUUGGGCGUAAAGGGUUCGUAGGCGGUACUGUAAGUCUGAUGUGAAAUCUCCGGGCUCAACCCGGAAACUGCAUUGGAAACUGCAGAACUAGAGUACUGGAGAGGUAAGCGGAAUUCCUGGUGUAGCGGUGGAAUGCGUAGAUAUCAGGAGGAACACCGAUGGCGAAGGCAGCUUACUGGACAGUUACUGACGCUCAUGAACGAAAGCUAGGGGAGCAAACAGG
rnacentral:rRNA from 1 species